CCGUGCUCACCACUGCUCGCUCAUCCCCACCAUCCUUGGCCACUGCUCGGCCCUGCACAGACGCCAACACUGUGGCCUUAUCUCCUCCCUUGACCGCCCGGCCUCCUCUCCCCUCCCUUUUUCUUUCUUCUUCCUCCGGCUGGACAAAGCAGAAACAGAGAAGAAUCGAGCAAGCAGUCACCGCUCGCCAGCCAAAUCCUUGAGCUCCCCUCCACCAAUUCCAAAUCACGGCCUCCCACAACUGCUAAACCUUCCCGGCUACCUCCUCCACCACUCCUUGCCCGGCACCAGGACCCCAAUCUCCAGGGAUUAGAGCUCCCGUGCCGCCAUUGCCACCGACCAAAACUCCACUCGUCACCACCCACCUCACCACCCCGACCUUCCUUUUGCAACCAACAACCAAAAUAGACUCUUGGUGAGCCCCUGUUCGUGACGCGCUCUCUAUUUCUUGGAGUUAGGCUAGUUGCCACGCUCGAUUUCGCGCUCGCCGCCGGAGUGUCGCCGCCGCUCAUUGGGGGUAGCCUUAGAGCUAGGGUUUCAGGUAAAGGAGUGGGCAAGAGGGUGCGACCAGAUGAAGAAGAGGUCACGGGGUAGUCACAAGGGCGGGGGAAACCACCACCGGCGGCCGUGCGUGCGCACGGCGCCUAAGAAAGAAGGAGAGAAGGGUGGUGUUGUGAGGAAAUAGAAAGUCCAGGAGGUUAUGAGUGAAAGUUCUGGGUUUAAGCGCUAGUGGGAAAUCUUCAAGGGGCCUAGGCGCUAGAUCCAGGGGUUGGUUUGUAAAGGGAAGGGUAGAUCUGCGGGUAAAAUUUGGUUCCAAGGGUGUAAUUGUAAAACUAUUUCUACCGUUUGCCAUCCGCAGCUCAACGGGGCAUGCAUAUGCCGUGUGUAUAGGUCCACCUUGCAAGGUUAUAAAUCGAAUCGAUUCGCCGCCGCUCUCGGUUAAGAGAACCUUGAUCACCGUGUCACAUCGUAGUAAGAAGUGGAAUGGAAGGAAAUGUGAAAUGAUGUUGAUGUUGUUAACUACUCAAUUGUUUCUCCACACUGAAUAGUUUUGAAAAUGUUGCUCACUUAGAAUGGUCAGCUCAACUUUAAUUUGGAUGCUAAAACUUAAAAGGAUCCACUCUUAGUUGCUUUUUGGCAAAACAAAUCCCUCAACCAAAAGCCUUUCAUACUAGGAGUCGGCUAAGUAUAUACCAUAGUUGGAUAAGUCUUGCUGAGUAUUAGUAUACUCAGCCUUGCUUUGUUGUUUACUUUCAGGUCUUAGUGAAGAAAUGAUAGAGUUGGUUCCCGGUCAACUUUGGGAUGGUUGUCCUUUACCUGAAGGGUGGUCGGUUGAGUGGUCUCCGGCCUCGCCUUGAGGUUGUCACGUGUUGGAUGACAUGUUGGCGGGCUACUCAUGUCGUCAUGUAUCUCUAUUCGCGCUUUAUCAUUUAGACUUCUGCUGUAUUUUAUUUAAGAACUCUGGCUUGUAAUCUUUUAUGAAUUCCGAACUCGAUUUGUAAAUCAAUUAAGAACUCUAUGUUUGUAACCUGAAAUACCAUGUUGUAUCAUCUGCGCUCACCUUCGUGUGAGACUUGUUGCAUGCUGGUUCGAUCGAGAUAUUCAGUGGUUAAAUUGGGCUUGACCCGACAGACUGUUGGAUUACACCAUUUUAAAUGUGUGUGACCGGAUUAACUAUUAAAAUGAUGGUUAGCGCACUUGAGCCGGUUUAAUUUGGGUGGUUCCGCCACAAGCCGCACCUGAUACAAUGUUCACAAAUCACAACCAGUAGACACGCUCACUGUGCUGUGC
rnacentral:lncRNA from 1 species